AGCCCUCAGCGUACAUGCCAGCUAAUUACAGAUGCAGGAGCAAACCCCUGGCCCAUACAUCAGUUGGGUGUGGUGACUCACACCUGCAAUCCCAGCACUUCAGGAGGCUGAAGAGAGCAGAUCACUUGCGGCCAGGAGUUCGAGACCAGUCUGGGCAACAUAGUGAGACCCCAUCUCUACAAAAAAUACAAAAAUUCGCUGGGUGUGGUGGUGUGCACCUGUGCUCCCAGCUAGUUGGGAGGCUGAGGCAAGAGGAUCACUUGAGCCUGGGAGGAUGAGGCUUCAGUGAGCUAUGAUCUCGCCACUGCAUUCCAGCCUGGGAGAUGAGUGAGACCCUGUCUCAGAGAAGAAAAAAAAAAAAAAAA
rnacentral:lncRNA from 10 species